rnacentral:rRNA from 1 species
GACGAACGCUGGCGGCGUGCUUAACACAUGCAAGUCGAACGGAAAGGCCCUGCUUGCAGGGUGCUCGAGUGGCGAACGGGUGAGUAACACGUGGGUGAUCUGCCCCUUACUUUGGGAUAAGCCUGGGAAACUGGGUCUAAUACUGGAUAGGACCAUGCUGUAGGUGGUGUGGUGGAAAGAUUAGUUUCGGUAAGGGAUGAGCUCGCGGCCUAUCAGCUUGUUGGUGGGGUAAUGGCCUACCAAGGCGUCGAUGGGUAGCCGGCCUGAGAGGGUGGACGGCCACAUUGGGACUGAGAUACGGCCCAGACUCCUACGGGAGGCAGCAGUGGGGAAUAUUGCACAAUGGGCGCAAGCCUGAUGCAGCGACGCCGCGUGGGGGAUGACGGCCUUCGGGUUGUAAACUCCUUUCAGCCAUGACGAAGCCCUUGUGGUGACGGUAGUGGUAGAAGAAGCACCGGCUAACUACGUG